AUUGAACGCUGGCGGCAUGCCUUACACAUGCAAGUCGAACGGCAGCACGGGUGCUUGCACCUGGUGGCGAGUGGCGAACGGGUGAGUAAUACAUCGGAACGUACCUUAUCGUGGGGGAUAACGCAGCGAAAGUUGCGCUAAUACCGCAUACGCCCUGAGGGGGAAAGCGGGGGACCGUAAGGCCUCGCGCGAUUAGAGCGGCCGAUGUCUGAUUAGCUUGUUGGUGAGGUAAAAGCUCACCAAGGCGAUGAUCAGUAGCUGGUCUGAGAGGACGAUCAGCCACACUGGGACUGAGACACGGCCCAGACUCCUACGGGAGGCAGCAGUGGGGAAUUUUGGACAAUGGGGCCAACCCUGAUCCAGCAAUGCCGCGUGAGUGAAGAAGGCCUUCGGGUUGUAAAGCUCUUUUGUCAGGGAAGAAACAGCAACUCUAACACAGUCUGCGAAUGACGGUACCUGAAGAAUAAGCACCGGCUAACUACGUGCCAGCCGCCGCAGUAA
rnacentral:rRNA from 1 species